rnacentral:tmRNA from 2 species
GGGGGCGACUGGCUUCGACCGGACAGGUAGAUGGCUUCGUGGCAUGCCCAGGAUAACGGUUGGCCUGGCUAAAAAGCCGUUACUAUUUUUAACUGGCAACUACCAGUAUAAACUGGCUGCAUAAAUGCGGCUCGUCCUGUGAGAGUACUUUCCGCGACUUUCACAAGGGCGCCGAUAGCGGAAUAGCGGUUCUGAGCGUUCGCGGCAGAAUGGCGAAAUGAAGCGAAAUAGCGAAACAGAUUGCCUGUCGUUUGGCGGUCUGCGGGGCGAAUCUUUGACAAACGACUAAGCAUGUAGAAGCGGAGCUUGAAAUGUCACGGGACGGGGGUUCGACUCCCCCCGCCUCCAGUA